rnacentral:lncRNA from 1 species
GCUACAUCAGAACCUCAGGCUGUGCUGAGAUCAUCUACAGGGUAAUCAGAUUACCCUUGAGGUAUGUCUAUACUUCUCAUACUUUUAGAUUUAAUUUUAGAUUUUAAAUAUCAGAUAAUAAAAUUAGAUCUAAUAAAUAUUAGUUCUGAAAUAGCAUAGGAUAAAAUUUUUAAAUUAUUUCACCCCAGAUUUGAUGAAAUCUGGAAGAUCCUACGAAGGAAAAAAGUGAUUUUUCCUUCAGAGGGACUUAGAGACCA